UUCUGUUCCCACUUGCAUCUGCGUUGAUGCUUUACUUCUUAUAUAUAUAGUUUAUGGUUUACCAUUUAACGUCACAGUUGAUCAAAAUAUUGUAUAAAAAAACAAGUUAUCGGUCUCACCAAAAACCACAAAACAGAAGAUGAUUAUGAUGCGGGAAAUAGUCGUAGGAUCCUUCAUCAUCGGAGCUUUCAUCUUCGGAGCAAUUCUUAUUCUUAUAUACCUACUCCGGUGUUUGUUGUACGAAACCACAGGAGUUGAAAGGAAACCUAGAGGGGAAAAGACAUUAGACAAAGAGGAAAGCUUUGCAAGUCUGGAUACAAGUUUAUCUGGAAAUGAACAUCCGCUUAAAGAUCCAGAGCUUGGUGAAAUUUCAGGUGAAGGAUCUACUCUAGCGCCAAAGCCGCCUGCGGCUGAGCCGCCUGAGAAAAAGGCCGACGAGAAGCGGCCUUGCGGACCACCGAAGCCUGAAUAUAACGUUGUAGAUGAUUUUAUCUUGGGAGACGACAGCGAUUCGGACUAAAUGAUAAUAAUUCAGUGCUUAAUGGUGGGGCCUACCAUAAAAGAGAAAAAAGGUGUGCUAAAAAUGCUAGAUUAAACAUCAAUGUUUGCACUGUUUCGCAGGUUCCAUUGACACGUGACGGUGCGUGAUUGGUUUGUUUUUAAUUUUUUUUUUUUAAUCUGAAAAAAAAAAAAAAAAAUUAAACACCUUAUUGUUAGUGCUAGGUUUAAUGGUGAUCUUUGUUGAGUGAAUUUGAUAUGCAUGUACUUCUCACGGUUAUGGGUGGGUGCGAAUAAGAUAUCCAUAAAUUCAAAAAUAUCAGGAUCUACGUUCACCCCGAUAAUCAUGAUAUCUAUGUAUAUUCUAUCCGUAACAGUUAUCUAGAAAAAAUAUAUCGAGAAUGCUUGGUGGAGCUUUUUCUGAGCAGAUAACUUCCACAAAAUCAAAGACUUUCCUCUUAAAAAAUAUGUUUUCCAGACAAGAGAUUAUCAUGUUUGGUGAGAGAAAUUAAAGGGGUCAUGGGGAAAAUCAAGUCUCAGAGCAGGGUGCAUUAGCAAAGUUUGUCGUCAAAAUUGAUUACUAUUCAGAUAGCCAGAAACAACUCGUACGCAGAGGCCUUUGCAAGGUGUUUUGCUUAUACAUCUGAUUCAGUCUAAAAUAAGUCUAGAAAAUGAACCUCCGUGUAACGUGAUAUAACUCCCAUAAGUAACACAAUGUUGCAAAUACUUUUUUUGUUUGAAUAUAAUUCAAAAACAAGUUGGUUAAGAUAAUAUUUUAAUUGUUAUUUAAGACAAGUUGGGUUUUAUU